AGCCUGCCCUCCACUGUCUCCUUUCCUUCCCUCAGGCUGGAAUAGCACGGCCCGGUGGCAGCUCGGGCAGCCGUCUUAGGCCAUACUACGGAACUCAUUUGUACACUGAACACGACAGAGCCGCAGGCCACGAGGAGCCAGGGUCUCCGACACUGUGGAGUGAUUGUAUUAACCCUGAACGGCUGCUGCACAGCCUCGGAUGUGAGAAAGGAGCGGUCUUCUAUGUGACGCAAAGCGCGAUGUUCUGGGGCUCGGAUUUACAGCCUGAUGGGUGUUUUAAUUCAUGCAUAGGCUGCUGCAAAUGCCCAGGCCGGCAACGAAGCCUUCCAAAGGACACAAGGGUACCGGCAACUGAAGCCAUCCCCUCCCUCCCCACGCGUCCAUUCUCUCGUCUUCCGGUUCCCCUGCGCAGAGGCUUGGCCUCCUGUGGCUCCGCCCUACUGGCUCCCAAGGCGGCUCUCAAGGAUUGCCUUGGCAGGCUAGGCAGCCAGGCCCGACUCUCCUGGAUCAUAAUUAGUGCUGUUGCUAACGACGUUUGGCCCUGGCGGGAUAGCAACCUGGGAAAUUCUUGGUACUUCCAAUUUUCCCUCUCGCUGCUUUUCCAGAUGCAAUUACCCAACCAGCACCUUGUGCUCAGUCCCCGGGCCCUGGCAGCCUCCUCACCAGGGAGAAUUAAGCCUGGAGCUCAGAUGCCACCAGACGGCUUCAUAGUUAGCUGAAGACAUCUCCUGACCAUCAUCAUGGCAUUAUCAUAGGAACACAGUCACUCGCUCUGGAGGACGAAGAGGAUUUGCUGUGAGGAUGGGAUGGGGAAUCGGAGCCAGCUGCCUACAGCACACAGCAGAAAACUGAUGACUGAAGCCAGGCACCUGUAAUCCAGCUACUUAGGAGGCUGCGCUAAAGAGAUCACAAGUUUGAUCCCAGCCUGGGCAACUUAGUGAGACCCUAUUUCAAAAAAAAUAAAAAAUAAAAGAAAC
rnacentral:lncRNA from 1 species